rnacentral:lncRNA from 1 species
AAGUGUAAAUCAGGGCAUUUUGAAGGAGGCAUAUUUACAUUAUGGCUGAGUGGAGCCUGCCUGUGCUAAAAACUUAGGUGGAUAAAAUUUUGCAAGUUUCUGUUUAUCAUUCCCUCUGAAGUAUUGUUAGUUUUCUUAGUAGCUAUAAAUUAAAUUUUUUUGAUGUAGCACAUGUAGUAGAAUUUGACCUUGUAAAUUUAAUUCUUACAUUCAAGGAAUUGUAACCAAGGAGGGAGUCUAAGUUUGAGUGCGUCGAGUAGGGAGGCAGGGAGGGCAUGGGUCUGCGCUGGUCUCCAGGCUCUGAAAGAGAGGCCUAGCUGAGGAGAGCUCAUUCCUUCCUGCCUCUGCCUUCUUUGUUAGGAGACCCUGCCUCUGCAGAUCUAGGAGAACUUUGAAGAAAUGAUCCUUGAUGUGACUUAAAGAGAAGUAAAUUGUGCAGAGAGUAGACAGGGUGAAUGUAGAAGUCAUUGUGUUUUUUAACAAACAGCAUGAUGGCACACCUUUCGGGGAAUACUGUGGCUUAAAUGAGAAUGGCCCUGGAAGCUCAUCUAGUUGAAUGUUUAGUUACCAGUAGUGAUGAUAUGUGAAAGAUUAGAAGGGUUAGGAAUUGUGUUUUUGUUGGGUAGUGUGGCCUUGUUGAAGAAAGUGUCUCACUGGGGGUGGACUUUGAAGUUUUAAAAGCCCACACCAGGGCCAGUGUCUGAUUGUUUGCCUGUUGCCUGUGGAUCAGGAUGUAGCUCUUAGCAUCAUGUUUGCCUGCUACUCUGCUCCCUACCAUGAUGAUAAUGGACGAGCCCUAGGAAAUUGUAAGCCAGCCCCUGAUUAAAUGCUUUCUUUUAUAAGAGUUGCUUUGGUCAUGGUGUCUCUUCACAGCACUAGAACAGUGACUAAUACUGAGGAAGACUGAAAUCAGUGCCGCCACCCUGGGCUACAGAGUUAGUUCCAGGUCAGCCUGGCUACGUAGCAUGAUGCUGCUGUUUUUCUUUUCUUUCUUUUUUUUAAAAAAGCACACAUUAUGUUACAAUGGAAUUAGUGAGAUCCUAGAACAAUCCAUGGAGCAGCAGGCAGUGGUUAUUAUUAAAAUAAAAUUCUUAGGGCUACAAAAAGGCUAUAAAUAUAGCUACUAGAAAAAAAUUAAUAAACAUUGCACCCCCCUUUUUUUUCUGAGACAGGGUCUCUUUGUGUAGCUUUGGGUAUCCUAGAACUUUUCUCUGUAGACUGGGCUAGCCUUGAACUCAUAGAGAUCUGCCUGCCUUUGCCUUCUAAUUGCUGGGAUUAAAAGCUUUCACCUCCAUUGCCUAGCUUGUAUCUCCCCCUUCCUUAUUUAUUUUAUUUUAUUUUAUUUUAUUUUAUUUUAUUUUAUUUUAUUUUAUUUCUUAGACAGAGUUUCUUUGUGUAGCCCAGUGGUUCUGGAACUUGCUCUAUAGAUCAGGCUGACCUUGAACUCACAGAAAUCUACCUGCUUCUGCCCCGGGUGCUAGGAUUAAAAGCAUGUGCCCCACAUUCAGCCAUAUAUAAUUGAUUUUAAAAGUUGCUUCUGCAGAUGAAGACAUGGAAGAAGUUGAGUGUGAGGAGGGAGAGAUGAGGUGUGCAGUGGUCAGCGUGAGCAGAGGUCUAGACUGGCUCUGGAGUACAGGCAGAGCAGAUGGAGCUAGAGAGGAGUGAGAGGCCUCAGUGACCGUCCUCAUGAGGCGUCACCUGGCUCUUGUCUGAAAUAUUCCCCAGUGGGAAAGCUGGAGUUGAUGCUCCAGUUUUUGUAACAGCUUGGACGUCUGCCCCAUGUCUGUCCAUUAAGAAGUAGUUCAUGCUUACGCCCAUCAAGGUUUUACCUGAAAGCCAGGCUGACAUAUUUGUAUUUCUUUCCUGUGCUGUGCAAGGAGGAAGCAUACAAAGUGACUUCCAAGUCUCUGUCCAUAGCACAGUUCAGCCAAGCCUGCCUUGUAAUGGGACUUGAAAACCCUGUUUGUUUGUUGAGAUAGGGUCUGACCAUGUAGCCCAGGCUUGCCUUAAACUCUUGUGCCCUAUUCCUUAGCUUCCCGGAUGCUGACUCUGCAGCAGUCUACCAUACCCAACUGGAUGUCUGUCUGUCUGUCUGUCUGUCUGUCUGUCUGUCUCUCUUGUGUUUGCAUGUCUGUGUGAACAUAUGCCUAUUGUGUGCAUUCCUGUGGAGUCCAGAAGAGGGCAUCCUGUCUCCAGAAGCUGGACUUAAUAUGUCAGCCUAGCUGUUUAGAUUAAAAACUUGAGUCUCGUGCUGUCCUCUCUAGCCUGGCCGCUGUUUGUCUUGGUGGUGUUUUUGGUGUUUUCUAUGCCUGUGAUGUGGUUAUAAAGAAGGGAAGUCUUUAGAGUGUAUAGGAGCCUCUGUGCGUUUGUGAUGGACACUUUUCUAAUGACAUGAACUCAGUAGUAACUCAGUCUUUUGAGGAGUAACCUUUUUUAAAAUUUUUAUAUUUUUGGUGAAAUUUCUUCAGAUUCCUGUCCUGAAAAGUCUCAGGAAGAAUGCCCAAUGUGGUUGUGACUGUUUUGUUUUUACUUGUUUUUCUCCCCAGAAUAACACAUAUCUUGAACUC